rnacentral:rRNA from 1 species
UACGUAUGGAGCAAGCGUUUGUCCGGAAUCAUUGGGCGUAAAGCGCGCGUAGGUGGCCUCAUAAGUCCGCUGUGAAAGUCAAGGGCUUAACCCUUGAAUGCCGGUGGAAACUGUCGGGCUAGAGUCCGGAAGAGGCGAGUGGAAUUCCUGGUGUAGCGGUGAAAUGCGCAGAUAUCAGGAAGAACACCAAUGGCGAAGGCAGCUCUCUGGGACGGUACUGACGCUAAGACGCGAAAGCGUGGGGAGCGAACAGG